rnacentral:rRNA from 1 species
AUGCCGGUCUCAGUCUCAGUGCCGGUCUCAUUCUCAGCGCCGGUCUCGAUGUCGGUCUCAACCUCCAAUAGAGAGGAGUGGUGGGGGGAAGGGUGGGGGAUUACAGAGAGGGGAGAGACGGUGGCAGGGAGGUGCUCGGCGACGGAGGCAGGGGCGAGGAGGGCGGGCUCGGGCAUGGGCAGUGACGGUCCUGGGCGGGCUCAGGCGGUGAUCGGGAAGCCCCGGCCGCCCGCCUCUUCCCCUCCCUCACGACCACGGCAAGCCCCCUUCCCCCUCCCUCACACCAAAUCCAGGGCAUGGAGCCGUGGUGACAUAAAAUGUGAGAAUGUACUGGUUACCUCAUGGAACUGGCUAUACCUCACGGACUUUGCGUCUUUUAAACCAACUUACAUCCCGGAUGAUGAUCCAUCUGAUUUUUCGUUCCUCUUCGACACUGGAGGAAGGCGAAGAUGCUAUCUCGCACCUAAAAUGCUCUUCACUGAAAUGCUUGCUCUCACUGCAUCUUCAUCAUGCAAAAGAGGGUACAAUAGGAAAAGCCUGCAAUUAACAGAUGUUUUAGAUAAGAUCAUAAGAUUCCACAAACAUGGUGCUGAGUCCCAAGUUCCAUCAGAUGCACUUCUGAAACCAUCUAUGGACAUAUUCUCUCUCGGACAAUUUACCCACCCGCGGCGACUCUCCAUGCAUGUGGCUUGGGUUAUCUUUUUUCCAACGAAAUUUGUGGCUUGGGACAACGAGUUCAUCUGCGGCAGCUAUCGCUGUGAGCAGCCGUCCGCGACGCGCUCUGCAGCGUCUUCGCCGGGCACAACGAGAUCCUCAACGUCUGGAAGGAUAAAGUGA